UGAGACAUGGCUGGAUGAUAGUUAUGACUGGGCAGUUAAUGUACAGGGUUACAGUCUGUUUAGAAAGUAUCGCCAAAACUGGAGAGGGGGAGGGGUCUGCCUUUAUGUAAAGUACUGUCUAAAACCCACAGUCCGAGGAGAUAUAAGUGACCUUCACUGAUAUCUUCU